rnacentral:lncRNA from 1 species
AUGAGGCUGUGUGUCCAGGCUCUCCCAAUGACCUCAUCUACUCAAAUCACUUCAGCUGCUGUUGUAUCAGAAGACAGUGGAACAUGUCUGGUUGCUGAGGUCAACAGCAUGGACGUUUACCAUGGAUCACCAAGCAGGUUCUAUUUUGAGAGUGUUCAACUAUUUUUUUUUUUUUUUUGGUUCUUUUUUUCUGGAGCUGGGGACCGAACCCAGGGCCUUGCGCUUCCUAGGUAAGCACUCUACCACUGAGCUAAGUCCCCAGCCCCUCAACUAUUUUUUUUUUAUUUUUUAAAGAUUUAUUUAUUUAAUGUAGAUGAGUACACUGUAGCUGUCUUCAGACACACCAGAAAAGGGCAUGGGAUCCCAUUACAGAUGGUUGUGAGCCACCAUGUGAUUGCUGGGAAUUGAACUCAGGACCUCUGGAAGAG